rnacentral:rRNA from 1 species
CCGGAGGAAGGUGGGGACGACGUCAAGUCAUCAUGGCCCUUACGAGUAGGGCUACACACGUGCUACAAUGGCGUAUACAGAGGGCAGCGAUACCGCGAGGUGGAGCGAAUCUCACAAAGUACGUCGUAGUCCGGAUUGGAGUCUGCAACUCGACUCCAUGAAGUCGGAAUCGCUAGUAAUCGCAAAUCAGAAUGUUGCGGUGAAUACGUUCCCGGGCCUUGUACACACCGCCCGUCACACCAUGGGAG